GUGGUUCAUUUCUUAUACAUAGGAGGAUGAGGGGCAGCGAGUGAUACUAAGAGAUGGGAGCUCCUAUGGUGUAGCAGAAGUGGGUUCCACAGGCUGAGGAUGUAUGACAAGAGGGUGCAGACCUUGAUAGAUAUGCAUCAUGUCUCAGAUCUCAGGAGUGUAGUAUCACUUGGAUACUUGGAGAAAAAGGACUUCAUUUUUAGAAGCAAUUUAGGAGUGCUGAAUGUCUUCAAGGAUAACAGGAUUGUGAUGAGAGGGAGGAGACUGAAGAGUUGUCUGUACCAGAUGGAGGGAUCUGUUGUGUCCAGAAAGACUGAUGUGAUUGCUUCAGCUAUAGAGGAUCAGUCGGAGAUCCAGUUGGUGUAGAUUAGACAGUUGAUGGUAUGUUUAUCGAAGCUGCCUAUUGCAAGGUCACCAGAUCACAAGGAGGUGGAGCAUCGAGUACAGGUGUGUCCACAUAUGG
rnacentral:lncRNA from 1 species